rnacentral:snoRNA from 1 species
ACAAGAUGAGCUCUUUAGAUGACGAGUCUGAACCUGGUGAAGCAGAGUUUCUCUGUUUCAUUGGAACGUGACGACCCAAUCACAAUUAUACCAUUCAUGCUUAACUGAUC